CCUACGGGAGGCAGCAGUGAGGAAUAUUGGUCAAUGGGCGCGAGCCUGAACCAGCCAAGUAGCGUGAAGGAUGACUGCCCUACGGGUUGUACACUUCUUUUAUAAAGGAAUAAAGUGAGGCACGUGUGCCUUUGUGGAUGUACUUUAUGAAUAAGGAUCGGCUAACUACGUGCCAGCAGCCGCGGUAAUACGGAGGAUCCGAGGUUUAACCGGAUUUAUUGGGUUUAAAGGGAGCGUAGAUUGGUUGUUAAAUCAGUUGUUAAAGUUUUUGGCUCAACCGUAAAAUUGCAAUUGAUACUGGCAGUCUUGAGUACAGUUGAGGUAGGCGGAAUUCGUGGUGUAGCGGUGAAAUGCUUAGAUAUCACGAAGAACUCCGAUUGCGAAGGCAGCUUACUAAACUGCCACUGACAUUGAUGCUCGAAAGUGUGGGUAUCAAACAGGAUUAGAUACCCUUGUAGUC
rnacentral:rRNA from 1 species